rnacentral:lncRNA from 1 species
GACAUUAUAGUUUAGAGUUAAGGGGUGGGGUUUAGGGUUUAAGGUUAAUUUAAGGUUUAGGGUUUAUAAUUUAGAGUUUAGGGUUUAGGGUCGAGGAGUAGGGUUUUGAGGGUAGGAUUUCAACUUUUAAAAAUUUUAAAAAAAUUUAAAAUUUUUAAAAUAAAAAAUGUUAUUUUGGUCUUUUUAGUUUUUGGGAUAUAUUUUUGUGACAAAAACUUAAAAAGGUCUAUUUGAGAGAAUUGCUCUUUAUUUAAACUAACAUAUCACAUUUUACAGCACAAAUAUUUCUUUAUUUGUCUUUUCAGGUUACAAUAUAAAAUUAGUUGGAAAUUUAAACCAAUGAUUACUAUUUUCAUAGUAUUGAUAAAUUUUAUUUAAAUAAAAUGAUUACUAUUUUCAUAGUAUUGAUAAUUCUACAAAAAACGUUUGUUUAGUAUUUUGAAAUAUAGUUAGAAAAAAAUGAAGUAAUUUGUUUUUUUUUUGAAUAAUUCAUCAUUUGGAGAAGAUGAAGUUAGCUGUAUUCAAAAUAAUAAAACAUCAAAUACGGGUAUAUUCAUUUAACAGCAACAAUAUUUGUUGUUUGUUACAAAAAUCAUAUAUAAAUGGUAUAAUCCUAUAAUUCUGUUACUGUAACAUUAUUGGAAAACAAUCAGCAUAAUAUCAAAGAAAAAAUCUAUUCCAAUAUUAAAUAAUAUAAUUCAAAAAGUUACUAAAUUCAAAUUACGGGUAUAUUAUUUGCCCGCAACUAUAUUGGUCGUAGAUUUAAAAAUUUCACUAAACUUAAAUUGAUGGAGUCUACCGGUAGUUACUAGAAAAUAGUUUCAUCUCACCAUGAAUUUCUAUGUAUAUUAUAUCAUGAAAUUUUUUUAAUUUAACAUAUUAAAAACAGAUAUCAGUGUUUUUAGUUUAAUAUUCAAUCGUAAUAAUAUUCAAAUAUUAGUGUAGAUUAAUAUUUUAAUAUGUUCAUAAAUACAAAUAAAAUUACUAAAUAAUAAAAUAUUUAUUUAUAUUACUUAUAAUUUUAAUUAAAAAAUUACAGGUAAUAUUCUAUUUCAAUAAAAGAAUAUAAAUACAAAUAAUAUUUAAAUUUGUUGAACUUUGCAUAUAUUAGUGAGAAAAUCUAAUAAGAUAAAUAUAUAAGUCACAAUUACAUGUAAUAGUUCAAAAAAAUUAAUUGAAUAGACAAACAUGCACACUAUAAAAUUAUUGUAUCUAAAAAAGUAUAAAAACUUUAAAUAUAUGAUUAAUUAAUAAAAAAUAUAUACCAAUAAUAAUGUAAAAACAGAUGUAUAUGUUUAUAAAGUGAAAAUAAACACCCGCGCGGUUGUGCGGGUCGAAAUCUAGUUUUAUUAUUAAAAUUUAAGGUUGUCUAGGAAUCCAUACCAAAAUAAAACAAUCAACAAAAACAAAAUUUCUAUGAAAAGAGCGUGCAAUUUUACCUAAAAAGUUUGAUGUCCGGUUUUGGCUCCUUCCAAAAGUUAUUUACAUUGUCAUGCCAUUUUUUAUUUUUAGGAUUUGUUUUAAUUAAUUUCACCCAUUUAAUAAGGAAACAAAUGUUUUGAACAUAUUAAUUUUGUUUACAUAUACAAGUUUGUUUAAAUUAUUUGUAAAUAACAAGUGUUUACUACGCUUAUACUUAAGCAAUUAAUUAUUGCUAUUAUUUAGGUCUUUUUAGUAUUAAAUAGUUUAUGGAUUUAUUUAAGAGAAAUUUCCAAAGAUAGACAUAAAAAAGUUUUUGUCACAUAUAUAGACCUUAAGAAUAAAAAUGACCAAAAUAGACUUAAUAUUUUAUCAAAAGAAGUAAAUAUACACUUAUGUAGGGUUAAUUAAUCUAGACAUUAUAGUUUAGAGUUAAGGGGUGGGGUUUAGGGUUUAAGGUUAAUUUAAGGUUUAGGGUUUAUAAUUUAGAGUUUAGGGUUUAGGGUCGAGGAGUAGGGUUUUGAGGGUAGGAUUUCAACUUUUAAAAAUUUUAAAAAAAUUUAAAAUUUUUAAAAUAAAAAAUGUUAUUUUGGUCUUUUUAGUUUUUGGGAUAUAUUUUUGUGACAAAAACUUAAAAAGGUCUAUUUGAGAGAAUUGCUCUUUAUUUAAACUAACAUAUCACAUUUUACAGCACAAAUAUUUCUUUAUUUGUCUUUUCAGGUUACAAUAUAAAAUUAGUUGGAAAUUUAAACCAAUGAUUACUAUUUUCAUAGUAUUGAUAAAUUUUAUUUAAAUAAAAUGAUUACUAUUUUCAUAGUAUUGAUAAUUCUACAAAAAACGUUUGUUUAGUAUUUUGAAAUAUAGUUAGAAAAAAAUGAAGUAAUUUGUUUUUUUUUUGAAUAAUUGAUAAACAUGAAAAUUUAUUGGGUUAGACUAGUUUAUUUUUAUUAUAUAUUACAUAAUUUAAAUCAAAAUAAUUUUAUAUACGAUAAACUAUUAUAAUAUUUAUGGCAUCCAAAACAUAUACAUACCAAAAAUAAAAAAUAUUGCAAAAAUAUUAGAAUAUUUAAUAUAUGUUUACAUAGUAUAUCUUUAGAAUGGGUUAAAAUUUAAUAUAAUUAUAGUAUAUAUGUGCCAAAAAUAAUAAUAUUAACACAACAAAAAAUAAAAUAUCAAAAAUUAAAAUUUUGUUGGAAAAUAA